AAUCACUUGUCUUUUAAAUGAAGACCUGUAUGAAUGGCAUCACGAGGGCUUAACUGUCUCCCCUCUCCAGUCAAUGAAAUUGACCUCCCCGUGCAGAGGCGGGGAUAUUUAUAUAAGACGAGAAGACCCUGUGGAGCUUUAGACCUAAAGUAAAUCACGUUUAAUGUACUAAAAUUAAUAGCAAAAACUUAGUGGACAUUUAUUUAAGUGUCUUUGGUUGGGGCGACCGCGGAGUAAAACAUAACCUCCAUGUGGACGGGGAUACUUUCCCUGAAACUCAGAGCCUCCACUCCAAGCAACAGAAAUUCUGACCUUACUGAUCCGGUACAACCGAUUAACGAACCCAGUUACCCCAGGGAUAACAGCGCAAUCCCCUCUCAGAGCUCAUAUCGACGAGGGGGUUUACGACCUCGAUGUUGGAUCAGGACAUCCUAGUGGUGCAGCCGCUA
rnacentral:rRNA from 1 species